rnacentral:rRNA from 1 species
UACAGAGGGUGCAAGCGUUGUUCGGAAUUAUUGGGCGUAAAGGGCGCGUAGGCGGUGCGGUAAGUCUGCAGUGAAAUCUCUGGGCUCAACUCAGAGUCUGCUGUAGAAACUGCCGUGCUUGAGUGUGGGAGAGGUGAGUGGAAUUCCCGGUGUAGCGGUGAAAUGCGUAGAGAUCGGAAAGAACACCAACGGCGAAAGCACUCUGCUGGGCCGACACUGACACUGAGAGACGAAAGCUAGGGGAGCGAAUGGG